AGAGUUUGAUCCUGGCUCAGGAUGAACGCUAGCGGCAGGCUUAAUACAUGCAAGUCGAGGGGUAACAUGGGUAGCAAUACCUGAUGACGACCGGCAAACGGGUGCGGAACACGUACGCAACCUUCCCAUAACUGGUGAAUAGCCCUCCGAAAGGAGGAUUAAUACACCGUAACAUAAUGAAGUGGCAUCACUUUAUUAUUAUAGGCUUCGGCCGGUUUUGGAUGGGCGUGCGCCUGAUUAGGUAGUUGGCGGGGUAACGGCCCACCAAGCCUGCGAUCAGUAACUGGUGUGAGAGCACGACCAGUCACACGGGCACUGAGACACGGGGCCCGACUCCUACGGGAGGCAGCAGUAAGGAAUAUUGGUCAAUGGACGAAAGUCUGAACCAGCCAUGCCGCGUGAAGGAUGAAGGCCCUCUGGGUUGUAAACUGCUUUUUGUCAGGGAAUAAACCCUUGUUUGCGACAAGGCUGAAGGUACCUGAAGAAUAAGCAUCGGCUAACUCCGUGCCAGCAGCCGCGGUG
rnacentral:rRNA from 1 species